rnacentral:rRNA from 1 species
GACGAACGCUGGCGGCGCGCUUAACACAUGCAAGUCGAACGGAAAGGCCUGCUUUCCCUUGUGGAUUGCGGGUACUCGAGUGGCGAACGGGUGAGUAACACGUGAGUGAUCUGCCCCCAACUUGGGUAUAAGCCUGGGAAACUGGGUCUAAUUCCCGAUAGGACUGCAGGGUGGUGCCUGUGGUGGAAAACGAUUUUCUAGUGGUUGGGGAUGAGCUCGCGGCCUAUCAGCUUGUUGGUGGGGUAAUGGCCUACCAAGGCGGCGACGGGUAGCCGGCCUGGGAUGGUGGACGGCCACAGUGGGACGGAGAUACGGCCCAGACUCCUAGGGGAGGCAGCAGUAGGGAGUAUUGCACGAUGGGCGGAAGCCUGAUGCAGCGACGCCGCGUGGGAGAUGACGGCCUUCGGGUUGUAAACUCCUUUCGACCGCGAGGAAGCCACCUGGUUGGAAGGGUGGUGACGGUAGUGGUAGAAGAAGCACCGGCUAACUACGUG